rnacentral:lncRNA from 1 species
AUGUGCAUGGAUUCAUCCUUCAUGUUUUUUUUUAUAUCCCUGACACAUAACACUGAUCUCUCUUUCUCUCUCUCUCACACACACACACACACACACACUUCACCUCUCUCACAUACAUGUACUCCACUGGCCCCACACAAAACACAUGGAAUAUAUUUAAUGAUAUACACUGAGAGCUCUUGCACAAUAACUUGUUUGAGCAACCACACAAUUGACUUACUAUGUUUCUGUUCGUGGCAAAUCUUUGUAUCCUUCUAUAUUAAUACACAUAAUAUUUAUCAUGUUUUACAGUAUCCUACACAUCUGCAGUCCAAACCUGAUCCAGAACAGUUCUGCCGUGAUGGGGGGGGUUUGAAUGUUCUCUCUUACACUUCACCUAGAGAACCACAUGAGCCAUGCAGUGGAGCAUGGAGGUUACUUCAUCUUAAAAUGAAUGGCCCAUGGAAGAUCAAUAAAACCAAGGUACAAGAAUGCAAUCAUCAGUUUUUUUUUCAGUCCUUGUUCUGUAGUUUUAUGUAUAAAACAAAAAACGAAUUAUAUAUUUAAAUAUUUGAUAGAAUAUUCCACCCCAGAGAGAGGGACUGGAUUGUGGUCUGUUCAUGCUGAUGGUAAGCUGUGAACUACAGAUUCUGAGCAGUUAUGGUGAUGGCAAAGGUUUAGUUUAGUUUACAUGGAGUAUUUAGAUGAAUACGGUCUAGUGUUAUCUGUAUGGUACAGUACAAUAAAUUGGUGUCAGUAAAUUUCAAUAUUUGAAUUUUCUCAAUGGUAUUUGUUGUCUGUUUCAGUAUGCACUCUAUAUAGCCCUGGACUGGACAUUUGACUUUAGCCAGGUGAUGACCUCAAAUUUUCUUUUGGAAGGUUCUCCUUUUUUAUAUUUAUUUUUUCCAGAAGUUUUUUCAAAUGCAUUCUCAGUUUUUUAUUUUGUGUUUUAUCUGUUAGGAUGACAUCCCUCAGCUCCGAAGGUGGUUUGCUCUUCAUGUCACAUCCAAGGUACACACAACUGGUUAAUGACAUGAAAUGGAUUCUUCUGCAUUCAAACUACCCAGACACACUAAAUGUUUCCUCCUAGAAUGUUAAGCAGUAACAAAACUUUGGAGAGGCCACAAUGUUGAAUGUUUAGAAAUGUGUUGAAUGCUUUGAGUGGUUGGAAUUACUAAAAAGAUGCUCUACAAAUGGUCCAUUAACCUAACCUUUGAGUCUGUGUUUAGGUUGUCAGAGUCCACCAUCACCAAACAGCCAGCAAGUACGGAAACUGUGAUGGGUCAAGAUGACAGUGAUAAGGUAAAAACUUAUUUUUUGUGAAAAUAAUUAUAGUAAAUUUUAGAUUUACCCCACAAACACAGUUUAUUUUGUACUUUCAACAGAUCGAAGAGGAACUGAAGAGGAAGUUCGGAGAGGAACAUAAGGGACAUUGGUGUAGCAUGGUGCUGGGUUCAGAGCCACUGUGAGCUGUUCCAUGGAGAGGUGACAGAGCCUGAAUUUCUCCAGAUGGACGAAGAAAAACAGUCUAAUAUAAUCAAAGACUACCUGAAAGGAGAGACUGAGAAAGCAAGGGAUGCCUGUGUGUUUGUCUUUGACAAUCGCCGAGGAUAUGGAAACAUUCUUAUUAAAAUGUGUUGAUGAACAGCCAUGUUUCUGGGAGUUAUUUAAUUUAUAAUAAUUUAUUUACUCUACAUUGUUGAAUAUUAUUGUUUUGUGAAAUAAAUAUAACAAUACCCAGUGAAACAAGGGAUGUCUUUUUAUUGAUCUUUAUGCAUCCGUAGGACUUGGACACAUUUUUAUAUAUAUUUGUGUUGAUGGAAAAAGGCCCAAAAGUCAAUGCCAUGUUACUUACAUAAUCUAUCAAAGCAACCAAUGACUUAAGCCUAUGUAUGUGUAGCUUAGUCUGUAUAGAGAACCGUCAAUCCUAUCAUACAAAUGUAGUUGCUCUUUUUUGCGAGGUGAUAAACUUUUU